GAUGCACACAGGAAGUACCUCAAAGUCACUGACUUAAAAAGUCCCACUUGGCCUGCCACUCGUGCUAUCAUGAUACAAGUUUUAGCAGUUAUUAUUAAAGACAAAGAAUGCUCCCCAUCUCUGGGCUACACAGAUGCAUCAAGAAGUCCUCUGAUGCCAAUGUUCUGCUGGGAAGCUUUGACUUUUCUAUAGAAAAGAAGACAUUUUACAAUUGAUAUUCAAUAUACCAAUCUAACUACAGAAUGCACAGCUCUCAAACAAGCAUGGCUGAUGCCAAGGGACGCAGCACUGGAAUCCUAAAUCUGUGAACUUGAAACUCCUCUGAGAAGUGAAAUGUGUAAAAAGGAAAAGUUGAAGUGUGUCCCUGCUGCCGCAAAUACAGGAAGUACACACCCAGGCCCUGUGGACACCCGCUUUCACACAAGACACUGAGCACACUCGACGGCCCCCAACUCCUCAUCUGCACCCACAUAAAGAUACUUUCAUCUCUGAGCAAUAAUAUGGAUUUUUCCAUCCCAUAAACAAACUUAUACAAUUUCUAUGCAAAUGUAUCCCACAGUAUAUACUAGCAAAAGAAUAUAGGGGUUGGUCUGCUGUAAACUGGAGUCCGAUACGUGCGCAGUAAGAGAGACUGUUCUGCAAGUGAACUUUCAGAGGCAUUCUCAGUCUUAGAAUCUUAUGCCACGUCACAACUGUGCAUGGCUAUGAUUAUAAUCACAAACUUUGAAAAAAAAUGGCUAUAUCAACUAAUUAAAAUCAAAACUUUUUAUCCGCUUGAACCCAGUACAAUGAAACCGAAAAUGACAACUGAGAGUCUUAAGAAUCCUCACGUGUCUGGACUGCUCUGAUUAUUACUAGUGUGUCCCUCUAUAAUACGUGCAUUACUCACUUCCUACAUUUGUAUGGUUUCUUACUUUGAAUAAAAGGCUAAGAACUUAGAAACACACAGCUCUAGGUAAAAUCACUAGAUCAAACACACACACACACACACACACACACACACACACACACACAAAGGAUGCACCCCAAACCAUACAAUUCAAGAUCUUUCUUUUAAAGUAAGUGUAGUCUUCACCCCUCAUCAAGGAAACUUCUUUUAGCAACAGAUAGAGACCAUUACAGAAGGCAUCCACUAAUCAAAAUGCAGGGUUGUGGAGCCCAGUCCCAAUGGAUACCUCUACAAAACAACUUCUGUAACUAAGACCCGGGAACAAUUUCAUGAGAUGAGGGCAAAAAGAUUGGAGAGCUAGAGGAUCAUGGUGUCUGCAGUGACCCUGUCUCCUAGUGAUUACAGAAGCCCUAAAAUCUCGCCAACAUGACCGCCUAAACAUGAGCAGAACAAGAGAAACAGCAAUAGAAGUGCUAAAGUGGACAGGAGCCCUUGAGGCCUCAACUCUACGCAAAGAAAGAUGUGCAGUUAAACAAUGUUGAAGUCCUAUGCUUCUGAGUGCCCAUAAACAAUCUCUCAACAAAACAAAAAGCAACGCAAAAAUAUAAAAGAGAUAGUUUCCAAUUUCUAGCUGCAUUAACUGUGUGACUAUGCUCCCUCCACCCCACCACACCAUUUCAGUAGCACAUGUUGAAUCUGCUUUCAUAGAGAGUGAUAACCAACAGUUCGAACAAGUGUAGAUAGGAUGGAUAUUAUGUUCUUAUGCUCCUUCUUAAAGGUGCGUUGCCUUUGUUGAUUAAGAGCAGAAUCCAUGCCAUAACAUAUAUGUACAUUUUUCUCAUUAGAAAAAAAAUGAUACUGUUGUCAAUCUGGGUUUAUAAAUCAUCUCGGAGGGACACUUCAUAAUUCCCCACAUGGUGCACAUUCACUACACUGUUCUUAGAAAGAAGUUAAAAUUGGAACUGGAGGGAUGGCUACUGCAGGCAAAGCUUCAUAUACACACAUAAAAGUCCAAGGAAGAGGUAAAUGUAAGGUGAGUAUCUAAUGGUUUCUCUUUUUAUCUCAUAAUAAAAAGCAUCUUUGAAAAAACUAAAGAUAAUUUUUAAAAACAGACUUGAAACUACUUUCAUAAGCCAAGCACUUUAUUGUGUGUAUAGAUUGUUUAUGGAACACCGGAAUGCGGUCAGUUUUAGGAUUCCUUCAGUGUGUGUUUACCUGAGCAUGACUGCUCUGCCUGGGUCGGUCCCAUAUGUCUAUUUCCAACUUGGGCAUCUGUAAAUCCUAAGCAUUUUAUUCAGAUUGACAGAAUCUGUAGAAUGAGUACAUGCUAUCAGGGGAUGUCACAUAGAUCUGUUUCCAAACAAGGCCUUCAGUGCUUCUGCAAUGGUGAUUGCAGAGUUUAUCGUUGGCACUUGACCUUCGCUUCUAUGGCAAAUGGCUGCAUGUGCUGUGUUAUCCUGCCCUCAAACCCCUGCCUUCUACACUUAAUCAGCUCUGGUCCUGAUAAUUGAGUUUUCUCAAGGGAAUGGAAACACCACUGUCUGUUCAGACCCCAUCCUCUAGACUAAAUAUGCCAGAUGAAGGGAAAGCCAGAAGCCCCGUCAGCCUGCUGCGAUUGCUCUUCUUGUGACCUUGGAUGAUAGUGAAACUCAGUAGCCUUCAAAUUCUAGGGGCUUCUGCUUCUUCUGAAGGGCGAGCUUACAGGCACGGUCAUUGUGUCAGAAAGUCACAGAUCCAACAAACUCCUCACUGAUAACCUUGGCCUGCCAGGCUCUAUCUGAAGAGUUGAAAGGCCAGUUAAAUCCAAAAAGAAAAAAAAAAGACAGCCAACUUCAUUUUCACAGAAAUUGUAAACCAUCGAGCCUACAAAUGCACACUCACACUUAACACUCUGAAGUAUUUCAUUUAAAGCUAAAACGCACAGCAGCUGAGUUACUUAAAAUUCAUUCUCCUGCUGUAAAAUGCCAAAAAUGUCUAUUGAUUGUAGCAAUGUUGGGAAGAAUGCCACUCUCUUAUACAUUGAUAGUGGGAAUGCAAUUUGGGGCACCCUAUUUAGAUAGCACUGUGACAAUACUUCACCAAAUCUUAUAUGUGCCAACAUUUUGAUUGAAAAAUUACACUUCCAGAAUUCUUUCCAGAAGGAUUCUUAAACAUGUACUACCAAAUCUGAGUCUGUCUUUUGCUACUUUGUAUGAAGAGCCCAAAUAUUAGCUAACAUUUUGUUCUGAAACAAAGUAUGACUCGUUAUUUAACGCUUUGCACCAACUACUGACAAAAAGUUGCCAAGGUAGUCUAUCAAGUUAAAAAAUAGCUCUCAAAAUGCAUUUAUAUAAUGGAAUUCAAUUAUAUAACAGACAAACUUGAUGUGUUUAUGAAAUUUCUCCUACACACACACACACACACACACACGUGAGCACGCAAACAUGUAAGCACACACACACAGGGAUACUAACAAGAUGUGUUCAGUUCUGAGAGUUUACCUAUCCUUGGUGGAGUAUGAUUAGGAAAUUUUUUUCACUUUUUUUUUAUUAACUUGAGUAUUUCUUAUUUACAUUUCGAAUGUUAUUCCCUUUCCCGGUUUCCAGGCCAACAUCCCCCUAACCCCUCCCCCUCCCCUUCUACAUGUGUGUUCCCCUCCCCAUCCUCCCCCCAUUGCUGCCCUCCCCCCAACAAUUAUGUUCACUGGGGGUUCAGUAGUAGCAGGACCAAGGGAGGAAAUUUUUUAAAAAUGUAACCCCUUUAUAAUAUUGAAUUGUAUUAUUUGGAUUCCAAUUAAUAUUCAUGAUGCAAUAUCACAGGAAAACUGGAGGCAUCUUCCCAGUUCAUGUAGCUGAGCAUGUUCCCAAUGGAGAGCAGGGUUCUGGGUGUGCCGGGUGAGUGCCACACACUAUAAAUGCAUUUCCUUACAUUGUUUAUUCCCUCCUUGUGCUUUUGGCAUUCAUAAAUACACUGUAAAUGUUUUAAGAAUGGGAAACAUUCUCUUUGAUCCUCAAAGUACUGAGAACCAGGGAAGAUUUCCAAGUGGAGUGUACAUUAGAGAUGGAUCUUGAAAAAGGAGAGGUUGUUAGUUGAAAAGAAAUGUUCAUACCAGGCCUAAGGUCUGGAAAGUGUAGUAACAAGCCAUUUUAGGAAGCCACAGUGAGGCCAAGAGGGUAAGGAUGCAGAGCAGUCAGAGCCCUUCGAGCAGAGCCAGAACGGGCUGCUUCCUCUGCCAAAGCCUUGGCUCUUAUGACAAGCCCUGCUGGAAAGCAGCACCCUCUUCUCUGAGGAGGCUGCGAAAGUCCAUGUGAGUAGGGGCAAUAGUGGAAAUGUAGUUAAGGAACAUGACAGCUUUCCAGUGAUUUCAACCUUGAAGAUGCUUAUCUUCCAUGGAGAGAGGGUCACAGACCUUGAGUAGCUCACAAGAGAGAUGAGAAGCUCUGAUGUCAGUCUUCCUAUCUGCCUCCUCGCUCGUAAAGCAUUCUAUAUCCUAGCCCUGGACAGAAACUGCAGAGUUGUCAAGGAGAGUCCAAGACACCCUGGGCAUUUCCCCUUUUGCUCUUAGAUGCAAUUUUAAUUUUUUACCAAGAGUAAGAGUCGUGCAUUGCAAGGGCUGCUCAUAACUGAUGGGCAGAGGCUUUCUAUGCUUUGAAGCUGUUACCCUACUCAAAAUGAUUUCAGCACACUUUUCCAUAGAGUUCAAUGUUUGUGUAGCAUCCAUUUUAUCUAGGUUUCCUUCUGCCUUUUGUUUGUCCUCAAAUACUUCUCUUUCCCUUAGGUAAACUUAGACAAGCCCAUUUAUUCCAGCACAGAACGUCAGAAAAUCUGUAGGCUCGCCCAUGUGUAAACUACAAAAUCUAGACAAAUUCCUACAGGGCCAAACCAACAGUAUUUCUGCAAGUCUUCAUGCAGUAACUGACUCCCAGGAAAAGAGGAGUCACAAGAGAGAAAAGGGUAGAAGAGAGGAGGGGAAGGAAGGGAAGAGGAAAGGAAAAAGAUACAGGAGAAAAGAAAAAGUCCGUUGUUCAGCAUUUUCCUAGUUGUAUUGUAUAAAUCCAGUGCCAAAUUUAAGUCUAUUUGUAAAUGUACAAAUAGAAAGAAAGAAAGAGAGAGAGAGAGAGAGAGAGAGAGAAAGAAAGAAAGAAAGAAAGAAAGAAAGAAAGAAGGAAAGAAAGAGAGAGAGAAAGGAAGGAAGGAAGGAAGGAAGAAAGAAAGAAAGAAAGAAAGAAAGAAAGAAAGAAAGAAAGAAAGAAAGAAAGAAGGAAAGAAAGGAAGCACAAGCAGUGGAGGAAGACGUGCAUUGCAGACGUAGGAUAGCUAGAAGAGCUGUCCUAUUCUAAGUCUAGUGGGGAAAGGGAAAGGACAAGUCUUCCUCUUUUCAGCGAGUGGGGUGAGGCCCAAAUAUAACUGAGAAUAAAUUAAAAGGAAAGCAGGAAUGCUACUUAAGAGCUUUUCAGGCUAAAGAGACUGUAUGUGCAAAGGACCUGAGGCAAACUCCCAUAGACAUGUUGGAGGAGCAGGACGGAGGCCAGUGCACUGAACAAACUGAUUCCCAGCCUCUUCAUUUGGAAGGGGUAGUGAGUUUCCUCCACAAAUUUGUUCUUUGUUUCCGUUUGCCUUUCCAACAACACCAAAAAAAAAAGUUUCUACAUGAAAGACCAGUUAACAUUAUUGCUUUUCAUUUUCCUUAGAGAGGAAAUGAAGUCUAUAGAGAUUAAAUCAAAGGCUUAAUUACAGAUCCAAGAUUAUGAUUGGACUCAGUUUUAUAUACACUGUAACAAAACCCAGUGCCAGGCAAGUUCCUUCCUGGCCACGAACUGGGUCCGAUAACCACAUGUUGGCGGCUUCAUGUUUUUGUUAAACAUCUGCAGUUCUCCAUAACAGAAAAUGUCCCCCUGCAUCCAUCAAUAGUCAACUUUCAAAUUUUUUGAUGUGGUUUCUGUUAAACAACCAUUUCUUCUGUAGUGAAAUUAUGAUAUCAUUUGUUUAUUUUUUAAUGCAUUCAACAAAUAGACCAUAAAUUAUGUUUUAAAAAUUGUUCAGGGAACUAAGAUAUAGCCAUGGAUAAAAUGUGUCUGCGUGCUGACCCCAUGAGUGCUGAAGGUUGGUGGAAGCAGCUGGCAGAAAUCAGUAUUCAGAUUACUGUGUGGCAGAGCAGAGUGCAGAGUGCGCGAGAAAUUAGUGUACCAGAUUUGAGAUAGUUUUAUUUAAUUUUUCACAAAUUUAAUACGUAUUAAAGGGAAACAAAACAAGUAAUACAGUAAAUGUUAGCAGUAUAAGCAAUGCAAUCCCUACGUUGGUUUUAAAUGUAAUGCUUACUUUGGAAAAAUCAAGCAUAUUGCACAAAGUUGGUCUGUAGAUCAGCCUGCUCUGACUGAACACACUUUACUCUUUAGGAUGAGAAGCGUUGUUGAGAAUGAACGUGGGGAUCAGCGUUCACUAGGUGAGAGUCACAGUCUCAGUCAGAAUUUGAAUCAAAAUGAGACCAGACCUCCUUUUAAGCGUAGGAGGUCACUGUUUUUUAGAACCUCUCCUCCAGAGGAGAAAGUGUCAGUUGCUGAACAUAUCUAGAAUUCUGGAGACUGGGGAGAAGUGGGCAUUGUAGGCUGCCCCUCCCAUUAGAAUAACCAGAUGUAACUUUUAUUUUUAUUUUUAAUUAUUUUAGGAUGGGUGACUACUUUGAAACCACUCCUUAUGGUCUUCUAACCGUAAUUGCAGCGGGGAACAUUGGGUGUCUUGGAAUGAAAGAAUAACCUCUCUCAGGAGAGCCAUCUAGAACACUAGCCUACAAAGUGGAACCUUGGCUCCCUCUGGUCCCUUUUGCCUGUUCCUGAGAAGUAAUUGCAGCAGAGAAAGUAUAAUGUUUGUUGGGUUUGGGGAUUCAGGCUGGGGAGAAAGUGGGAAAACAAUGGUUUGCCUGGUCACCAAGGUCUGAUAUUCCUCCCAUCGAAGAAUUUCUGAGACAGGAUUUGGCCUUCUCAUUAUGUCAAGUCCUCAACCAGAGCACCCACCCUUCAAUGGUUACAAUCUGUACUGGUACCACUCUCCAGAGUUAUAUAUGUUCUUUCUGCAAGUCAGGACAUGCAGCUCACCAGAACUGCUGUACAUUGCUGAAGGAGCACAUUUCUUGUUCUAGAGGAAUGGAAAAAAAACAAAGGGCAGAAAAGAGGAUAAUCCAGAAGAAACCAAUAGCCAGGAGAAUUCUACUGAACUCUCUGGGUUGGCCAAGCUAGAGAGCUCAGGAGGAAGCAAUAGUAGAGAGAUAGAUGAGGAGUGAAUAAGCUCUUAAGUGGAAUGAACCCCCAAAACCCUGUCAAUUGUGGCAAGGCAGGCAUAGAUAAAGAUUUCCAGGAAGUUGUAGGUUUAUUUAAAAAGGCACACAGUAGGUUGCCUAUUCAUUGCGUAGUGAGCAUAACAGGGGACAGCUGGUGCUGAGAUUUGAACAUGAAAUGUCCUCUGCAGGCUGUUGGAACUGUUUGGAAGGUUGUAGAACCUGUAAGAGAAAGAGGCUUUCAGAAGGAAGUGAGUUCCUAGGGAGUGUUUCUUGAGGUUUGGUACCCUAGCUCUAUUUCCUAUCCACUCACUGCUGCCUCUUGACUUUAAGUAGAAUGUGACCAGCUACUUCAUGUUCCUGUUGUUAUGCUGUUGUGUUCUUUGCAUUACUCCUUCUCUGCCGCCAAGCUGUCUCAACCUACCUGGACUCUACCUCCCUGCCCCAUUUCACACAUUUGAUCUGAACGAUAAAAUAAAAGAAAAUAUAAAACAAAAGAAAAUAAAAAGCAGCCACAGAUAACCUGGUUAGGAAUUAUCAAAGCCAUUACAUUUGCAUAUUAAAUUUCCUAUAUCUAAAUAGCCUUUUGAGGAACUAAUGUUGGAGUUCAUUACAGCAAAACUCUUUCAUGAAUAUAAAAAGAAAAUAUAAAAAUGAAGAAGGAAGAAGGGAAGAGAAGGAGGAAAGAAGGCAUUGAGGAAAGGGGAAGGGAGCAGGGGAAAAAGAAAAAGAGAAAUAAAAAAAGAGAAAAUGGGAGGAGAGGAGGGACAGAGGAGAAACAGAUAGAUAGAUAGAGACAUUGAUAUUUAGAAGACUCCCAGGUAUUCAGUGUGGACUUCCCUAAUCAGAAGUGGAGGAUAUGCAAAGCCUUCCUUGCCAAGAAGCCAACAUUGCUAAAAUGACAGAGUACAUAAACCACAGCCCAGUCAACAACAGUGUGGGACACCAUCCGGCCACACACAGAGAAAGCAGGCUCUCUGGACAAUGUUAUAGGAAGUAGAGAAUUGGUAAUUCUCAGAAAAUAGAUAGAGACAGAAGUGGGGAGAGGGCUGGGAAUUUGAGAAAAGACAUUUCAAAUCAUUUAGCUUGUCUAAACCAGAUGGAAGCGAAUUCCUUCCCUAACACAGCAACUUGAGGCAAAGCACAUGCCUGUCGCACAACAAACAUUUGGGUAGGGAAUAAACUGGGGCGCGCGUCCUGGGAAGCAAUGUUACCGUAACCUGUGAUCUUCUAUCAGCAUGUAGCAGGGUGCACAUCAUCAGCUGACCUCCUCAGUAUUGAAUCAGUUGGCUGGGUAUUUCUCAGUGUGGGUGGCCACAUUCCAGGGUUGGGAACAGGGCUAGAACCCCAUGGUAUGGAGCUUCAAUUCUAAAAUUCUAAGUGUCAAGAUUUGAAGGCCCAGUUGAGACUUGCUAGUUGGCUCUAGGCAUUCCUCAUAUUAGUUUAGCCAGGACUGUGGCCUAGAAAGUGAGCUGUUUUCUCCAUCUCUGUAGCAUGAACUUAGCCCAAGGCCUAUGGAGAGAUGUCCUAGGUCCAGUGAAGGGGUAUGUUAACCCAGGUGCUGGUAGACUCCCUGAGGAUGAGUGUGGGUGACAUUGCUGUCAGCCGAUGGUAGCUUCUUGGGCUCCAGCUGACAGUACCAUGGACGCUGAAGAGUUUAUGGAAGACAGAGGCAGAAGGAACAUGGACCUGCCUGUAGGCCUGCCUGGUAGAAACACCGAGAGUUCUCUUGGUCAAUAUAUGUGAGAUGUUCUCAAGACCUGGAAGGCUGUCAGUGGUGAGAUAAAAUAGACAAUGUCAUGGAGUGUGGAGAGCAGAUAGGUAGAGAGGGUUCCUGUGAUGAGCAGCAAUAAUGGUUCUCAGAGAAAAUUUUUUAUAGCUAAUGAAAUCAUUAUAAGCUUCAGUGGCACAAAGUAUCCUGAACCAGAUAUGUAUGGUGCGGUAAACUGAAAAGAAUGAUUCAUGAGAAAGAUAACGUAACAUAGCUCCAGGAAUCACUGUGAGACAGAUCUAAUCCCCAAAGAGUGAGGGGUAGAUAAUCUUAUUUGAAACAACUAUCCAUCCUUACAUGUUUAAUGUGUGCAUAUAUGUAAUAUGUAUGUGAUUUCUGCAUAUGUGUGGUGUGGAGCACAUUUCCAUACUUACUUAGCAAGUGUGUGAAGGUCAGAGAUGACCUAGAAUGUUAAUCCUUCCCUUCCUCUUGUUGGUAGCAAGUUCUCCUUGCUUGUUUGCCUCCUUGUUUGCCUUUGCAUUGCACAUACCAGGCUAGCUGGCCUGUGUGGUUCCAUGAAUUCUUCUCUUUUCUCUUCCCAUCUUGCAUUAAAGGCAAUGGAAUUACAGAUGCAGGCUACUUCCUGUGUGUGUUUUACAGAAAGUCUGGGAAUGUGAAUUUAGCUUCUUACACUUAUGUGGCAAGCCCUUUACCCUUUGAGGCACCUUUCCAAUCCUAUCCUCAUUUUAACUAAGUCACAAAGCUACAUAUCAGCUAGAGGUCACAUAGCCUGUGAUUUCUGUUUUGACUAUAGAAGGAUCAUGCUGAAUAGAAGAAAUAGAUCCAGAGUCAAACUCUGAAUCCUGGAGUCACUUACUGAUUAGGUAUUUGUGUUGAUAACAGCAUCAUCUGUAGCAAAACACAAUGCAUAUUAAGCAAUAAGUAAAUGUUGGCCAUUGAUAGGCUUGCUGGUCAUAUGACACUGAAAGCCUCUGUAGGAGAAGCUGGGUCUGAAAUCUAAUCUGAUGCACAAAGCAGAAUUUAUAUCUCUUUCUGUUAAAGCCCUACCUUGAGAGCAAUUCUCCAGUCUGAAUUUUCAUCCAGCAUGGGAUUUUCUGCAGAACUAGCUACUCUAUGAAUGGUGUUGCAUUUUCUUGCAUUCUCAUCUGGAAACUUUUUGAACAUCCAGUCUUAAUUGAUUAAGGCUAGGUAAGAUGGGAGAGUACACCACACUCAAUAAAUAGUGUUGUU